rnacentral:rRNA from 1 species
CCUACGGGUGGCAGCAGUAGGGAAUAUUGCUCAAUGGGGGAAACCCUGAUGCAGCAACGCCGCGUGGAGGAUGAAGGUUUUCGGAUUGUAAACUCCUUUUGUUAGAGAAGAAAAUGACGGUAUCUAACGAAUAAGCACCGGCUAACUACGUGCCAGCAGCCGCGGUAAUACGGAGGGUGCAAGCGUUACCCGGAAUCACUGGGCGUAAAGAGCGCGUAGGCGGGAUAGCAAGUCAGAUGUGAAAUCCUAGGGCUUAACCAUAGAACUGCAUUUGAAACUGUUAUUCUAGAGUAGGGGAGAGGUAGGUGGAAUUCUUGGUGUAGGGGUAAAAUCCGUAGAGAUCAAGAGGAAUACUCAUUGCGAAGGCGACCUGCUAGAACAUAACUGACGCUGAGGCGCGAAAGCGUGGGGAGCAAACAGGAUUAGAUACCCGGGUAGUC